GGUUGUGUAGUGUAGUGGUAAGCACCUUGGAUUUUGACACAUAUGUUAAACUUUCUCUUCCGGAAACCCCGGUUCGAACCCGGGCACGACCU